UACGGGGGGGGCAAGCGUUGUUCGGAAUUACUGGGCGUAAAGGGCUCGUAGGCGGCCAACUAAGUCAGACGUGAAAUCCCUCGGCUUAACCGGGGAACUGCGUCUGAUACUGGAUGGCUUGAGUUCGGGAGAGGGAUGCGGAAUUCCAGGUGUAGCGGUGAAAUGCGUAGAUAUCUGGAGGAACACCGGUGGCGAAGGCGGCAUCCUGGACCGACACUGACACUGAGGAGCGAAGGCCAGGGGAGCAAACGGG
rnacentral:rRNA from 1 species